CGGCAACAGCUCAAAUUUGAAAUCUGGCCCCCUCGGGGCCCGAGUUGUAAUUUGGAGAAGAUGCUUCGGGUGUGGCCCCGGUCUAAGUUCCUUGGAACAGGACGUCACAGAGGGUGAGAAUCCCGUACGUGCCCGGUGGCCGCGCCCGUGUGAAGCUCUUUCGACGAGUCGAGUUGUUUGGGAAUGCAGCUCAAAAUGGGUGGUAUAUUUCAUCUAAAGCUAAAUAUUGGCCAGAGACCGAUAGCGCACAAGUAGAGUGAUCGAAAGAUGAAAAGCACUUUGGAAAGAGAGUUAAACAGUACGUGAAAUUGUUGAAAGGGAAGCGCUUGCAACCAGACUUGCGCGCGGCCGAUCAUCCGGUGUUCGCACCGGUGCACUCGACCGCGCGCAGGCCAGCAUCGGUUUGGGUGGCUGGACAAAGGCCUCGGGAACGUGGCCCCCCUCGGGGGGUGUUAUAGCCCGAGGCGCAAUGCAGCCUACCCGGACCGAGGACCGCGC
rnacentral:rRNA from 1 species